rnacentral:lncRNA from 1 species
UGAAAGCAAAGAAGCAUGGAUAUACUUUUUUUCCCUUAAUUAAUGAUAUGCAAGGAGUUACGAUUUCAAUGAAAAUCACAGUUAAUUUACAAACAUCAAACUUAUUUAUGAGGAUGAAAAACUCGGUACAUAUUUUAAUAAACAGCCACAUUAUUCUUUCAAGCUAGGCUGAAUACAAUACACAAACAAAGCCUCUUAAACAUUACUGACACCAAACAUUACUAGGCUGAAUACAAUACACAAACAAAGCCUCUUAAACAUUACUGACACCAAACAUUACUAGGCUGAAUACAAUCAGACAUUACAUAAACUCAUCUUUAGCUGCUGGAACGAAGACAAGAUGAUCUGUUGGGAAGUAGUG